GAGCUUGCUUCGGUAGCACAUAUACUAAAUUGGAACCAUACGGAGAUCAGCAUGGCCCCUGUGCAAGGAUGCCACGCGAAUUCGUGAAGUGUUCCAUAUUUUU